UACGUAGGGUGCGAGCGUUAAUCGGAAUUACUGGGCGUAAAGCGUGCGCAGGCGGUUUUGUAAGCCAGAUGUGAAAUCCCCGGGCUUAACCUGGGAAUGGCAUUUGGGACUGCAAGGCUGGAGUGUGGCAGAGGAGACUGGAAUUCCCGGUGUAGCAGUGAAAUGCGUAGUUAUCGGGAGGAAUACCGAUGGCGAAGGCAGGUCUCUGGGCUGACACUGACGCUCAUGCACGAAAGCGUGGGGAGCAAACAGG
rnacentral:rRNA from 1 species